GUGCCAGCCGCCGCGGUAAUACGGAGGAUCCAAGCGUUAUCCGGAAUCAUUGGGUUUAAAGGGUGCGCAGGCGGGGCAGCAAGUCGGAGGUGAAAGCCCGUGGCUCAACCACGGAAGUGCCUUCGAAACUGUUGCUCUUGAGUCCCGGAGAGGUUGCCGGAAUUCGUGGUGUAGCGGUGAAAUGCGUAGAUAUCACGAGGAACACCAGAGGCGAAAGCGGGCAACUGGACGGGUACUGACGCUCAGGCACGAAAGCGCGGGGAGCAAACAGGAUUAGAUACCCUAGUAGUCC
rnacentral:rRNA from 1 species